UGCAACAAAAUACUUAUUAUUUCGACCCGGAUAACACCUCAAAUUGUAACGUUAAUAUUUCAAAUCGCAAUGACCAAACUAAGAACGUAUUUUAGAAUAUGGUAACGAUUCCUGGUGGAAGGAAAAAUAUCAAGAAAGUGAGGUUAUGUCAUCGAAAAAUAAUGGAUCAAAGAAGAGCAUUUCGCCAAUCGGUCGAUUUGUAGAUGGUGUAGAUAUAUCAAAAUUAAAACGAGCGGAAUUGGAAAAAUUUGUUCAACGCUUGAAAGAGGAGGGCGAAAAAAGGAAAGCCGAGAAGAAGCAAUUCGAGAUCGAAUUAGAUACCGUCAAAAUGUACUGGGAACAGACCAAAAAAGAAUUGGAAGAUAGCAAAAUCAAAUUGAAUGGAAUAUCUGAUCACAAAAAUAAAAAGUAACUUGUAAUAAGAUAUUCAAUUAAAGCGAUUUUUAUAAA